ensembl:lncRNA
CCGGGAAGCCCUUGUUCACCAGGGGAGAGAGAGAACUCGGUUCUGGAGAAGUUACCGUUUCCCUCCACACCUGACUGUGGAACAUUCCUCAGAGCUUGGAGACACUGUCCAGUACCUGGAGAGGUCCUGUGCACCAUCGGGCCACCAAGGAUGCUCCACCGCCCGGAGGAAAACAUCCGUCAGACGACUGUCCUUCUGGGAUGAAGAAAAGAGGAAGACAGUCCUUUCAGGGCUCUUGUAUUAAAGGAGAGCCUGGAAGUAAGAAGGUCCACCUCCCCGCCAUCAAUUAACCCAGAGACCGAAAUCCCCAUCGCGCGGAAAUAAUAAGAGGUGGCCGUGCAAACAGGUAUGCGUCUGGACAUGUAAUCAACGCCCAGCUUUUCUUGUUUUGUGUCUUUUCCUUUUUGUUUUUUCCUUUUUUUUUUGGUGGAGGGGGUGGUGUAGAUUUUGCGU